AGAGUUUGAUCAUGGCUCAGAAUCAACGCUGGCGGCGCGCUUAACACAUGCAAGUCGAACGAGAAAGGGGAGCAAUCCCUGAGUACAGUGGCGUACGGGUGAGUAACACGUGGGUAAUCUACACUUGAGUGGGGAAUAACUCUGGGAAACCGGAGCUAAUACCGCAUAAGCCUGAGAAGGGAAAGCCGAAAGGCGCUGAAGGAGGAGCCCGCGGCCGAUUAGCUAGUUGGUGGGGUAAAGGCUCACCAAGGCGAUGAUCGGUAGCCGGCCUGAGAGGGCACACGGCCACACUGGCACUGAGAUACGGGCCAGACUCCUACGGGAGGCAGCAGUGGGGAAUCUUGCACAAUGGAGGAAACUCUGAUGCAGCGACGCCGCGUGAGCGAUGAAGCCCUUCGGGGUGUAAAGCUCUUUCGACGGGAACGAUAAUGACGGUACCCGGAGAAGAAGCUGCGGCUAACUACGUGCCAGCAGCCGCGGUAAUACGUAGGCAGCAAGCGUUGUUCGGAAUUACUGGGCGUAAAGAGUGUGUAGGCGGUGCUCUAAGUUCGGUGUGAAAUCUCCCGGCUUAACUGGGAGGGUGCGCCGGAAACUGGAGUGCUUGAGCGCGGGAGAGGAAAGCGGAAUUCCUGGUGUAGCGGUGAAAUGCGUAGAUAUCAGGAGGAACACCUGUGGUGUAGACGGCUUUCUGGACCGUAGCUGACGCUGAGACACGAAAGCGUGGGUAGCAAACAGGAUUAGAUACCCUAGUAGUCC
rnacentral:rRNA from 1 species